ensembl:lncRNA
CUCUCUAUCUCUCACGCCUCUGUCUUUCUCUCACCUCUUUAUCGCUCACCCCUCUCUGUCUUUCUCUUACCCCUCUCUGUCUUUCUCUCACCCCUUUCUGUCUUUCUCUCACCCCUCUAUCUUUCACCCCUCUCUGUCUUUCUCUCACCCCUCUCUGGAACUUUUAAAGUAGAAAAACAAAACCACUUUUUAUUCUUUAGGCCUUUGCAAGGUCAAUGAUUUAAACAUUAAAUAUUUCUGAUAUCCACAACCUGAUGCUCACAAAAACCUACAUUGGAAACCACAGUGGGUUUGACACAUCUAUAUAUAUAUGUUUUACCUCAACAGUGUAGCUAGAGCAACAGGAAAUGGAAGUUAAGGAAGUAAAGUUGGUUAUUGUAAUUGUUGCGGUACUAUUUGGGGGCAUAAGGAAUGACUACCUUUCACAUUGUCCUAAUUGUGAUCAUCCUUCUCAAAGUCCCUCAUCAGGCUUUCUGUCAUGUAUGGGUGGACCAGGACCCUGUGGUGACCAGCACACUGGGCCAGAAAGUCUCCAUGGGAUGCCGUGUCCUGUCGGACAGCGGGGAGCUGAUCACUGGCUGCAGGGCAGAGUGGUACAUCAACACGGCCACACAUGGCCAGAGGAAGGUGUGGAGGGAGAUGGGUGACUUGCCCCGAUUCAAGGGGAGGUUUCAGAAAACCUAUGACCUGAACACAACAGAUACAAGCAUCCUGAUGAUCUGGUUAGAGCUGCAUGACAUAGGCUACUACUUCUGCACUCUUCAGUGCUGCGUCAAUGGGAAGGACAAGCAGUACCAUGGCAAUGGGACAAGACUCCUCAUCAGCGAGGCUACACACACACCUUAUGGGUUAAUAUUUACCUCAGUUAUCCCAGGUAAUACAACAAAGAAAAUGCACAUAUUAGGUUAAAAAAAUAUCACAUUUAUUCCCUUGCUAUUGUAUUGCUCAAAAAUGUAUCAAGUUAUCAUACAGAUGACAGUUGUCCUUCCCUUUGUAGUUAAUGUUUUCAAUACGAUUUUGUUCUUAAGGUGCAGAAGAGGAGAAUACUUCAGAGAUGCAACUCUUUUAUUUUUAUGCUUUUCUGGCAGUGAAGCUGUUGGUCAUCAUAGUGCUUGGAGGACUCACAAUCAGUUCUUAAAGAUGUAAUUUGGACAAUUUAAAGGUUAAAUAAAAAAAUGUGAAGUAGUUAAUCAAUUCAUUAAUGGAAAAAAGCCCAACAUAUUGUAUGGUCAUUAUAUUAGUCAUGAAUUAGAACUCCUUUCUAGGGAGUUUUUCCUAGCCACUGUGCUUCUACACCUGCAUUGCUUGCUGUUUGGGGUUUUAGGCUGGGUUUCUGUACAGCACUUUGAGAUAUCAGCUGAUGUACGAAGGGCUAUAUAAAUACAUUUGAUUUGAUUUAGUUUGUACUUUUAGUAUUGCACUGAA